GGAACCGAAAUUGCACUAAGGCGGUCGCUUCCUGCUUCUGCCUGGUCAGUCAGCGUUAAGGUGAAGGAAGUUAACACGGAGGAAAGGUGACCAGGAUUUGGAUCAAUAGAUUUUGGCUGUUCUUCUUUCCUGGAGCCAGAAUGACAAGGACCCCAGGGCAGGAUCUGCACGUUGAUUCUAAACAACUUUCUUUACUGGAGGUCACUUGGGGAAAUUUUCAAAGGAACCCCACAUAGCAGUGAAAGACAACACUGACCUUCUGGCUGAUGCCCUUGGCAUAUUAAUAUGUGAAUGUGUAUCACAGGCUAGUUUUUGGGAAAGGACGUGUCAAGGCAUGCUUGUUACUACACAGGGGGGAAUGAGGGCAUCUACCACAGAGGAUUGUCCCUCUUCUAUGUCCCUUACAUCAGUGGCUCUUCUAGGUUUCCUCCUGAGAGUGUCAUCCAGUGGCAGCUUGAAUAUAUUCAAAG
rnacentral:lncRNA from 1 species